AUAUAAAAUUAUAUAAAAUAUUAAAUAAUUUAAUAGGUGAAUGAUUUUAUUUUAAAUAAUAAAUAUAUGUUUAUUUAUUUAAAAAGUAAAAUAAAAUGUAAACAAAAAAAUAAAAUAUAAACUAAAUAUAUGUAUAUAUGUUUAUUUGAACAAGCGGGCGUGGUUCCCGGUGAAAUCAGACAAGCAGCGGGACUUUGUUUCACUAACACCCCGCCCCAUUUUUUCACUUCCUUUUCCACUCACACUCAGUCAUCUCUCUCAUUUUCCACACAGUCCUCUCUCGCUCUUCACCCCCACAUCUCGUCUCUCUCUCUCUCUUUUCACCCCCACAGUCGCCUCUCUCUCUUUUCACCGUGUCUCUCUCGUCGCUCUGGUCUCUCUGGUCUCUCAUCAGCACAUCUCUCUCAUCUCAGGUUUGGAUUUCAAGUUAGGGCAUGGUUUGAGGGCUCGAUGCUUUGAUACUCCUAACUAGGGGUUUCUCUCUUUAAAUCAGGGCUUCAUUUCUUUAUUUUCUUCCAUUUACAGGUCUUUCUUCUUUUAAACUACAUCUAAUCGUACUUUAUCUUUGAUUUCAGGUAUUUUCAGCGGAGGUUUUGCAUUUGGAAUUAGGGCUUCUUCGGUUGAUUUUAAGGAUUUCAUUUAAAGGAUUUAAAAUUAGGGUUUCAGUUUAAAGAUUUUGCUACAGCCAUGGACGAUGUGGAUAAUACUUGGAUAAACCUUCCAAAGUAUAGUGUCGAGUACAUCAGAGGAAUAAAAGCCUUUAUUCGGAAUGCAUUCCCUAACGUAGCCGUAGGUGAUGAAAUGACAUGCCCCUGUAGAAUAUGUAAAAACAUAAAGUGGCAUAGUCAGGACCUUAUAUACGAUCAUCUCAUCUGCAAUGGCCAUUCGCCUUUGUGCUCUGAAUGGAUUGUGGGAAUUGCACAGAUUCCUCUCCAGCCAGUUAACGACGAGGAUCUUGAUUUAGGGGAUAAAGAGAAUAAUUUAAAUUUCGAAGAUAACCUAGAUGAGAUGUUUCAUCAGCCUAAUGGACCAAAUGUCGAUGCUAAAAAAUUUUAUGCCCAUCUUGAAGAGGGAAAGCAACCCUUAUAUCCAGGCUCCAAAAAAUAUUCAAGAUUAAGUUUUAUUAUCCGACUUUAUUCCUUAAAGUGUGUUCACGGAAUCACGGAGUCUGGAUUUGGGGCUAUAUUAGAGCUUAUCAAAGAAGCUUUUCCAGAGGCAAACAUACCACUGUCCUUCAACGCUGCUAAGAACAUAAUUAGGGAUUUAGGGCUCGAUUAUCAAAAGAUACACGCUUGUCCAAACCAUUGCAUGUUGUAUUGGGGAGAGAAUGAAAAUGAAAACUCUUGCAGAACUUGUGGUAUUUCAAGGUGGGUUGUAGUGGAAAAGAAAGGGACCAGUGAUGAUAAUACGGGGAAGACAAUUCACAAAGUCCCUGCAAACGUGAUGCGUUAUUUUCCACUACGCCCUAGGCUGCAAAGACUAUUUAUGUGCAAAGAGUAUUCAACACUUAUGGUAUUCCACUUGAGAGGUUCAAAUUGCUGUUGGAAUAUUGGAAUGAUGAAAGUAUUCAGGAUAAAGCCAGGAAAAAUUCAAAUAGCCGCAAGUCAUAUACCGAGACUCACACUCUUGGUCCUAAAAGUAUCGCACAGCUUCGACACAAAAUGAAAAAGAAUGCCCCAGAUGAGUCUGAACCAUGUGAUGCAGAGGUUUUUGUGAAAACUCGGACUCGUGAUGCAGGACGCAAGUACAAGACCAGUACUAAAACAAUGAAAAAGAAAAUUGAUAAAAUUAACAAAAAAAUCAAUUCCGGGGAGGCUGCUGAUGAAAUGCUUUUGGAUAAAGAGCAUGGCCCGACUUGGCUCUUAGGGAGAUGCAAGAAGCCGCAAAAACUAUCAGCUGCUGCUCCAACGGAUACAUAUGUCAAAGAAUUGACAACAAAAAUUAAGGAAGGCCUUGCUGCUGAAGUCGAGGAAAAAGUGAAGAAAAUCCAAGAAGAGGUAGAUGAGCAGGUAAACAGGAAGGUGCAACAAAAUUUGGCAUCGGUCCUUAAGAAACUUGGUGAAGCAAACCCCAACAUCACAAUUGAUGUUACAGAGCUGUGUGCACAUGUGGCUAGUGACAAUGACGAUGGCACACCAAUGACUAAAGGCACCAGCUUCUAGUUUGCUAAUAGUAUAGUUGUUUAGACUUUGGUUCUUUGAAGUUAUUUUGACUAGCUAAUAGUAUGGGGUUAUAUAUCUAGACUUUUUGUUAUUAAACUGCUAGUUUGCUGGUAGUUGGUCGAUUCUGGAUAUUAUGUUGGUUUAGCUGUGGAUUUGAUGUUGGAGUAAAUUGGAUUUGAUGUUGGUUUUUGUAUGUUUACAAUGGUUUGUUGAAAUGAUGGACAAAUUUUGGGAA